AGGAUGACUCCUGAGAACCUAUAAUGUGGUUGGCUGACUUCUUAGAUAAGCAGAAGGGCUGGACAACUGUGUCAAGUCCAGCGCACUGCAGACGGUCUGGUCGUGGUCUAUUGAAACAAGUUCGGCAUCCUCCCCAGAUCCUUGUUACAGAAACAAAGCCCCUGGAGGAAAUAAAAAUAAUUCACUUUGGAAAACAUUCUGCUGAUUCUCCAAAAGCACAGUUAGCAUAUGAGCCAGCGGGUCCGAUCUCAGUGCAUGCCAAUUGUUCUGAAAGCACAUGCCCGCAUGAACAAAGUUCAGAGAAAAACCAUCCAUUCACAAUAGCCCCAAGAUGGAAACAACCCAAAUGCGUGAACCAGCUGAUAAAGAGAUGGCGGAGUAGGGCAGGGGUCACAGUGGUCACCCUCUUGCCUUAGCUGCACAUACUGGGAUGCCUAGCCUCCUGUGGUGUUCGGCCCCAGCUGGAGCCCCGCACUAGAGCGCGUUGGCAUUCUGCUUCGGAGAAGCUGCUUGAAAAUUUCAGCAUAGAAGUUAACAAGGAAAGGAUGGAAUUGGAAGGUCAGAUGUCUGCGUCUGAUUGAAGGGGACCGUCACGCUACUGUCCCCAUUUCUUCCCAGCUAGUUACCAGUGUCCCUGCAACUCAGGAGGAGUUCCCUCGCGAGCCGAUAGGGGGCGCCUUCUCCAUGUUCCUCUGCUGCACCCAGCUUCUGACGAAGGAGAGAGCAGGUGGCAGUCCCAUUGGACAGACACCUGAGCCUCAGAGGCCGUAUCUGACCUGCCUGAAGCCACAGUCCUCAGUACAUCAGUCCUCAGUACAGUUGAGAUCGGAAGUCCCAGCCAAGACAGAAACCCUUUGCCUCAGGAUGGACCCUUUAUGAUUUUGAGGCAGGAUGGAAAGUCAGACAACUUUGGGAACAUGGGAAGAGAAAGGAGAAGCUUCUGGAUGACCUUUCUCACCUGACCUGAGGACCAAGAAUUCCAAAAUGCCUUACACCUUUCUCAUUCCUCGGAUGUAAACCUGGGGAUCUCUAGGGAUCCAUCAGAAACCCCGUUUGCAACAAAAUACAUGGUUUAACUUUUGUAUUACCCUAGUUAUACUGAUUUUAUUUCAUCAGAUUGGAAUCCUACCCAAGGUACCUCCAGAGUCAUCCUAUAAUUUCAUUUAUGAAAGAGAGACGGGGGAAGGGAGGGAAGGAGGAGGGAGGGAGGGAGGGAGGGAGGGAGGGAGGGAGGGAGGGAGGGAGAGAGAGAGAGAGAGAGAGAGAGAGAGAGAGAGAGAGAGAGAGAGUGUUAAUUCCAGCACUCAGGAGGCAGAGGCAGGUGAGUAGGUGAGUAUCUGUGAGUUUGAGGCCAGCCUUGUCUACAUAGUGAAUUCCAUGCUAGCAAAAGCUAAUAGUAAGACCCUGUCUCAAAAUCAAACCAAAGCAAAACAGGCUUGACGCUCUUGAUGUGCCAGCAUGCCGGCCUGAGUUCAAUCCCCAGAAUCAAGGUAAAAAAUCAAACAUGGCUUUCCACGCUUGUAACCCUGGUGCCGAUGGGAACAGGGAGCCAAGAUAGGAGCAUCAGCGAAGUUUACUGCCUGGCCAGUCUAGCCAAUAUGGUAGCCCCCAGGUUCAGUUAGAGACACUGCCUAUGAAUACAUACACAUACAUACAUACAUACAUACAUACAUACAUACAUUCAUUCAUACAUACAUGCAUACAUUCUGCAGACCCAUACAUAGACCCAUGCAAAGCCCUCAAUAUAGAAGAUACCUUUCUCCCUUUCAAGUGUCUACUUUGCCCUGUUGAUGGCCACACAGAAUCUCUCGUGUGCCACUGCACCUGCUGGUUCACACCGAAGAUCAUCACUCUUUUGAGUUCCCCGUGCACACAGCACUUUCCUUUAGGUACCCAACCAAGCACCCGGAGGAAUUACAAACUCCCAUGAGAACAGAAAAUAUUGCCUUCAGGUGUCAGGGUAAGGACUACUACUAAAUCUACCCCAAACCACCCCACUCAGGGUUUACGCAGGGAAGAACCCGUGCGUCUGGGUUCUCCAUUACCCCUGUGUCAGUUACUCACUCUGGCCUCUAGGGGGCUCCCCAGGAACACGGACAAGGAGCCAUCGUCUCCGUUCUUUCAUCCAGGAUUCUAAAUGUGAACUAAUGGAUGCAGUUUGGUAACCCACAAAAGUAACGCCACACGUUCUGGAGGAGAAGACGUAUCUCAUCAGAGGAUGACAAUCCGUGAGCCAUGGGGAUCAAUGGGAACUCCGAGUGACCAGUAUUCCUUGAGAACACAGACCAUCUCUGGUCACCUCUGGGUAAAACUGCCCAUUUUAACCAAUCAAUUGAUUAAUUUGGUUUGCGCGUGGAUGUGUGCCCAUUGGCGAGGUCAUGCAUGUGUAGAGGCUAGAGGUGGAUUUCAGGCAUCCUCCUCAAUCACUUUCCACUUUCUUUUUUCUUUGUUGAGGCUGUCUCACUAAAUCUAAAACCCACUGUUUAGUUAGACAGGCUGGCCUGCAACCCCAGGAAAUGCUUGUCUCUUCCCCUAGUUCUGGGGUUACAGGCAUGCAACAUGCCUGGCUUUUAACUGCAUGCUGGGAUGCAAGCUUAGGACUUCACACGUGUGCAUCCACAUCUUACACACGGAGCCAUUUCCCAGCUGGGAACACCAUAUUUGAUGCAGGCUGACUGGUUCCCCUCAAGCUUCUAAUUGGUGCUCACAACCAGAUAGACUUCUGACUGCUGAAGCCGUAUCUUGCUUGUACCACUCCGAGAACCAUCUCACCAGCCACAGAGUCAAUAGUUUAAAAACAUGGACUGGAGAGAUGGCUCAGUGACUAAGAGCACUGACUGUUCUUCCGGUCCUGAGUUCAAUUCCCAGCAACCACAUGGUGGCUCCCAAACAUUUGUAAUGAGAUCUGAUGCCCUCUUCGGGUGUGUCUGAAGACAGCUACAGUACACUCAUAUGCAUAAAAUAAAUAAAUCUUUAAGUAAAGUGAAGACAGCAACAGUGUACUCACAUAAAGUAAAUAAAUAAAUCUUUAAAAAUAAUUUAAAAACACAUUUUGCAUGUCUGUUUUCUGUUAGGAUUUAAAUCUCGGCCCGUGCCUGGACAGAAUGCACCAAGUCAACAUGGUUCCGUGAGGAGAAGUUUAAUGAGAGAAGAAGAGAGGAGAGGAAAGGAGGCCAGCCAUGGGCAUGUGGGGGGAAAGGGCAGGAUGGGGAGAGAAAGGACAGGAAAGAGCAGAGAAGAACAAAGAGAACAAGAGGGAGAGGAAGGGGGCAAGCAGCCUCCUUUAUAGUCAGGCACAGCUGGCUGUUGCCAGGCAACUGUGGGGCAGAGCAUACCUGGCUGUUCCCAGGUAGCUGUGGGGGUGGAGCUUAGGCAGAAUAUCAACAUUCCCCGUUUUGGUUUAAUUAAAAAGAAAAAUUAGAGGCGAUGGUGGAGCAGGGAUAGGGUCGUUGUGAUCUUUGACCACUUUCUACUUGCUUUGGGGCAACGUGUUUCUAGGGAACCUAGAAAAAUGGGUAUAGGGAUGUUUGUCCAGUCUUAGAGUUGGCUGUUUCCUUGUUGUCCAGGGUCUGUGGAACCAUCUGAGGAUAGAUCAGAAGGAACAGGUCUAAUAGAAGCGUCUAUGAAUGUGAGAAGAGAUUGGACAUCUGGAGGUGGCUUCUCUGGAGCUGUCCCGGGUGUAGUAAGCGCCUGGACUUCACAAGAUGCUGAAACACACACAUAUAUUUAUUAUAGGCAGAGAAUAAGAUUAAGUGUAUUUGGAAGAAAAGAAAUCUUUUUCUCUUAGAUGGACAUUUGAAACCCAGAGGAAUCCCACCCUUUGGAAUAGGUAGUAAGGGGGAACUUUAGGCAGGUGUACUUAUCUGAGUGGAGUCUAUUUGGUCCAUGAGAGAUAGGUCUGAGUAAGUUUCCUGUAGCUUAUAAGUUUAAAAAAGAGAUAACAACACGAGUUAAGCUUUUUGUGGAGCCAUAUUCGCUUUUCCUGCUGCUGCGAACCAGGGGCUGCAGUGGCAGGCAGAGCCCAGAAGCCCCGCAUGAGAAAGUGCCAAGUGAAGGGGUCCAACGCACGUGGGAAAGCAGGCCUCACAUACAGGGUUCCUGCGGAAAGGGGCCAGACCUGCUUUUCAGGGGCAGGAACUGGGAGGUACGGCAACCAGGAAGGGAGGAGGGGGAGGCCUGGGGGCGGGGCCAGACAGAGAUAUUGUUUUCUGUGUUAAUUAGUGUAAAUUAGACCAAAACAUCCCAGGAAAUGGGGACAGGCGGUGAAGACCGAUAGACCUGUGGGUGAGAAUAGGGAUUAAUUACUCCUAACAGUGCUGGGGCUACAUUUAGAACCCGUGCUCCUGAACCAGUGAGCAGUCUAUCCAGGCCUGGCCCGGCAUUACACUAUCUCAAAAAAAGAGAGAGGAGGGGGUUGGGGAUUUAGCUCAGUGGUAGAGUGCUUGCCUAGCAAGCACAAGGGCCUGGGUUCGAUCCCCAGCUUCGGAAAAGAGAGAGAGAGAGAGAGAGAGAGAGAGAGAGAGAGAGAGAGAGAGAGAGAGAGAGAGUCUUACCCAAGGGAAAAGGUCCUAGAACGAGGGUCAGUGAAAGGGUCCAUCCCCAGGGGCAGCACAGGUAGCUCCAAGCUCAAGAACGCUCCCCUGAGACCUUGGGUACACCAUGGAAAGUCAAGCUCUGAGGUAGAGAAAGCUCACCUAGGUUGAGUAGGUACCGCUCAGCAGCACGUACUUGAAGAGGGUGCUCUCCUUGGAGGGCAGCUAUAAGCAGGGCAUCACAGCGAUGGGGAGGCCUGCUGGAGUGGUGGAAGUCCUGGAUCCCACAGCAGCUAGCAGGUUAUGGUGCUGGUUGGAUGGCAUAGAUGACAUAGUGGAGGCAAGCAGCUUCGAUCAAAUUCUGGUGGUGCGAGCAGAAGCAGCAGUGAAUAUAACAGUGGGGCCCAAAGGCAGGACGCGCGGUGGCGAUCUCGAGUGGUGCUGGCAGAAGGGGCGAACAUCUCCAGUCCUCUCUACAGCCAGCGCGAGCAUGCAGCCCAUGGCGAGCGAUUGCAACUCUGCCCUGGUCCAAGGGUGGACUGUGAGAGCUCACAGCUCUAACCCUCCCCACAACGACUCCGAGGCUCUACGAGAGUGUGUAGACCGUGACCGCGCCUGGUGCUGGGGGUUGUGGCCGAGGCUUGUGGUGGGAAAGGCCUAUCCUCUGCCUUGUGGUUGGCAGCAGGGCAGAGGGGUGCCAGGCCAUGUGGGCGCGUGGAGACCAAAAUCCUCACACGGGGCACCAAUGUUAGGGUUUAAAUCUCGGCCCGUGCCUGGACAGAACUCACUAAGCCAACAUGGUUCUAUGUGGAGAGGUUUAAUGAGAGAAGAAUAGAGCAGAAGAAAGGCGGCCGACCAUGGGCUCAUGGAGGGGAAGGGGUAGGGAUGGGGAGGGAAGGGAUGGACAGAGGGGAAGAAAGCAGAGAAGUGAAGAACAAAGAGCAAGAGGAAGAGGUGGGGGCACACAGCCCCCUUUAUAGUCAGGGACAGCUGGUUGUUGCUAGGCAACUGUGGGGCGGAGCAUAUCUGGCUGUUCCCAGGUAGCUGUCGGGGUGGAGCUUAGACAGAAUACCAACACUUUCUUUUCUAAUUUCUUUGUUUUGUUUUGUUUUAUUUUGUUUUUGUAUCAUGACAGGGUCUGGCCUCAUAGCACUAUCUAAAUUAACCAAGGAUGACUUUAUGGUCUUGCUCCACCUCCCAAGUGCUGGGAUUACAGCGAUGGCAACCCUCUCUGAAACGAGCUGCGAUCGAUUGCCAAUGUAAAUACAGCGCAGAGCUGAUACUCCUGCCUCCCAGCGCCUCUGUUCUCCGCCAUGCACGAAAUCUUCUGUUUCACAUCGAAGACUGCCCAAGCAUUUGCGGACGGUGCAUGAGGCACUCACUGUUCUUCCUGUUUCCAUCAAAGCUGCACAUGGAGAACUAAAUGGAAAAGAGUCUCUGAAUCCAGUAUCUGAGGCAGGCAAGGCCGAGAGUUCCUUCAAUCACAGCACUUGACGGGCUGAGGCAGGACUUUAAGUUUGAGUUUGGAAAAGAAAAAAGUAAGACAGUCUAUAGGACAAUGGCUAGUACCGACCUUCUUAUUUAUUUAUUUAUUUAUUUAUUUAUUUAUUUAUUUAUUUAUAGUUAGGGUUUCUCUCUGGGUAGCUCUGGAUGUUCUGGAACUUGCCCUGUAGACCAGAGAUCUGCCUGCCUCUGGCUCCAAACCUCUGGGAUUAAAGGAGUGUACCACCACCUCCCGGCUUCUUUUCAUUGUUCUUAAUAUUUGUUUUUAUUUUAUGUGUACAGGUACUUUGAUUGGAUGUUUUGUAUGUGAACCAUUUGGAUGUAUGGUGCCUGCAAAAAAAAAAACCCAACCCCAAAACAAAAACAAAAACAAAAACAAACCAGAAGGUCAGACCGCCAGGAACCGGACAGCUGUGAGCAGCCACGUGGGUGCUGGGAAAGCCUGUGAGCAUUGAGCAACAAGUGCUCUUCACUGCUUGAGCCAUCUCUCUAACUUCCUGUUUUAGUUUUUGAGACAGGCUGACUUUGAACUCCUGAUCCUCCUACCUCCAGAUCUGGAGUACUCUGUUAUAGCUUGUACCACCAAACUGUUUAUGUGGUCGGUGGAUCCUAGGCAUGGAACUAAGGGCUGAAGAGUUAAAAAAAAAGUCUCAGGUGAGCUGGGAAACUUUGGUCGGGGAAGCUAAGAACACUGAUAACGUCAGCAAACAAUGAGAAUCGGGGAGUUCCAGAUAAGAAGACAGCAGACCAACCUCCCAUGGUAUUUACAGCUUUGAAACAGCAGAGAAACAGAUCUGCAGGUGGAACCUUCUACACCCAAAGUUUCCUUUUCCGCCCUUUAAAAAUCCCAACUCCUCUGUGCCUUGGUACACACUCUCUGCUCCAUUGAAGAGACUGUUGGACUUCAUUGUUCUUUUCUUUUCCUUUCUCUCCCUUUAAGGCAGCAGUCUGGGGAGCGGGUGUGGGUCUCACUGUGUAAAUCUGGCUGUCCUAGACCUCUCUAUGUGGACCAGGCUGACCUUGAACUCACAGAGAUCUGCCUGCCUCUGCCUCCGGGGUGCUGGGACUAGCGUGUGCAGUACCAUGCUCCUUCAUGUUCUAACUUACUUCUGUAGAGGUUUGGUCUCCUUGUUUUAUUUUCAUGGUGCUUCAAUCAGCCUCAAUCCAACAGGAGCCCUGUUGUACAACAUGGUUCCCGGGAAGGUGUGAACAUAUAUAUAUAUCCACGUACUCCGAGAAGGGAAGUAACAGCAGGAGGGCUUGGUGACUGGACUCUCCCUCUGGAGCCAUAAGUCCAAAUAAACCCUUCCUUGAGUUGGUCACAGUGCUUCAUCACAGCAGCAGAGGGUACCUAACACACUCCUUUUCCGUUUGGCUGCACUCAUCACCACCACACUUUGCUCUCUAAGUUUCUCUCUCUCCUUAAAGUCUCCUAGAACACGUUUGAAUUCAUCAGUUUAAAAUUACCUCAACAGAGAGCCCAGCGGCACUCUUCAGGUUCCUUUGCUGCCUAACAAAAUAUCUGGGACUAGGUAUUUUAUAAGAAUAGAGGCUUUUUUUUUCCUUGCAGUUUUGGAAUUUGGAUGCAGUCACGGGGUGUGGCAGGCAGCAGAAGACUUCGGGGUCCAUGUUUACUCUCUUUAUAACUCACUCUUGGCAGAAUAAAUACGCUUUUCGAGAUGGUAAAAAUUCUUUCCAAGGGCAGCGACUUCAAGGACCUAAUCCUGGCCCACGAGGCUCCAUGUUGCCAAAGAAAUGAGAACCAGGAUCCAGGAACCUGUGGUCAGCCAACCAGAGCAGCUAAUCUGAGAACACCUUGUCAUCUGGCCUGAAGGAAGACUUGGUAGCUGGAAUGAGUAAUCAAGCCCCUGGGAAGUCUCCAGGUCUCUAGAGAUAGAGUUAACCAAUCAAGAUAGAAGGGCACGCCCUCCUCCCUGGAAUUCCCCUAACUGACAAUAAAAGCCAGGCUGCCAGUCCACUGGGUCUCCCUUCCCAGAUGGGGAGACACUGAGUGCAGGAAAUUCAGUUGAACAAACGCUUUCUGUUUUCGCAUAGUAUGAGUCUGGGGUAUCAUUUUUUUGGUGAUUCUUGGACUCUCACAACAUCACCUUCCAGCACUAUAAAAGCUAGUUACUGGG